rnacentral:misc_RNA from 1 species
UUCAACACGGGCGGUCGUUGUGUUUAGGUGUUGGUUUCGGAGAGUGGUUGAGUGCUAAUUUAUUGUGCGCCUGGAGACGAAUUUUAUGGAAUUUGAAUAAUACAUGAAAUCAGAAUGUAAAGAGGAAAAUUAUCUAGAAACUGCUUUGAUACUCUAAAAAUAUUUGAAUGUGAAAAAAAAAAAAUUAAUGAAAAAUUUCAGAUUUGAUAGUAGCACAAUUGGCUGAAAGGAAAGUAGUGCUAUCAGUAAUUUCUCCCUGUGCUAAGUUAUUCAUAAAUCCCAACUAAUUUAAAGGAUUUUUGUGUGGUGAAGGAAAAGCGGAAGGAAAUUAUCCUCCUACAUAUUACAGUGUUACUUGGAAACAUAGUGUAGUUGAAAGCGAGUUGUAUCUAUUAGUAACGGGUAAUUAAAACGAAAGUAUUUAUCGAAGUAGUGAAGUGUAUUCUUGGAAAUGUAAGGUAGAUUUCGUUCGGGUAAUCCACCUCAAUAAUGUUCUGAGCAACUGUGAGUGUUCUUAUAAACUAGACGAAAGUUUAUUCCCACGUUAGGAGUCUUUACACCGAAUCCGGUAACAGUGAAGGACAUCAACUGCAGCUCCGCGGAGACUGAACUUUGAACACGGCGCCAACGAUAGACGACAUCAAAACGCUAUAGAAUUGCUGUUUGGAUUGGGCUUUGGACGAGGGUGUUGCUGCUACAGCAGAGGUUUUAAAUCAUCUAAAUGAAAGAGGGUGGUAGAACGAUCGACCCCUGAAGUGCAAGAAAUUCCUCAUAUUGAACCGACUUUAUCGGCGGUGCUACCUUGGUGAUAUGGCCGCAACACAAAUACGACAAGGACUCUUCGUCGUUACUGCUACUAUUGCACAAUACAAGGAUAUGGUCGUAUAAGAAGGAGAGGGUGUCCAAAGGCCGGACCGAAAGACCCUCUUUUGUGCGCAAACACAAUCUCCUCUUAUCUUGUUGAUUGCGUCGCUGAGGAAGGAAGAAGCUACAAAAAAAAAGAUGUAUCCGACAAGCAAAUACUCAACAAGGCCACCGUCACCGACUUUUGUGAAUUUUUCGCCACCGUCCAAUUAUCCUUCAUCGCAUCAUGCCACCAUGCCAAUGAAACAUCAUAUGAUUGCGAAGGAUACACAUUCACACACUGCCGUUACAUUGGAUGGACGGGGCGAGAUUAUCUUCCCGAAUGAUAUUGAAAGUAUAGAGUUUUGUGUACAGGAUAAUGUCGUAGUCAAUUAUCCGCCGAACGACGCUUUUAGUGACCGAAGGCGACGAGGGAAUAGUCGAAGAAGUAAUCAUAAAUUAGAAGUUGAGCAGCAGGUAAAAUGGUCCCGAAAAAACAUUGCCGCCACAAUGGAGAGAUUUGAGCCCAACCAUAAACUAGACUACAAUACGCUUCAAACACCCAAUAACCACGUCUACUCGUACGCCUACUACGAACCGGGUGCAGCAAAAUGCCAUACAAACAUUCCUACACCACAAAAAGAGCUUGCACCUUCUACAGCGCCCAUUCCGGGCCCAUCGAAAAGUCCUCCAAGAAAUUCAAUACGGGCCCUCCUAGCUAAAAGUUUUCGCUCAAGAGCGCCCACCUCUUCGGAAGAACGGCACACCUAUACAACGCGGUAUGGGACCCAGGAGAACCUUUACGAAGAAGUCAAUGAUCAGAAAAUCCGAAAAGUCCUUUCCGAUAAUCGAAUAGUUUCAGUCAAUUCAACAAUGGUCAAGGAGGAACUACGUAGAGUUCAGCAUAAUCAUUUUCGAGUAUUGGAUGAGCUGAAUUUGUCGUUGGAAGCGCUGAUAAUGCCGUCCACCCCGCCUGAUACAAGUCCUGCCUCAACGUCCGAUAUGAAAGGUGGACCUACGCCACAUUGCAGCAGUAGUAUGGAGAACCUUUCGAGUACACUGACGUCGAUAGAGUUAAAGGAUCACACCUGCAUCAAUCCCGAAUUCGAUGAAGGCGAUCUGGAUAGCGGAUUCAGUGGCAGUGGUGCUGUGAUGAUACCGCCAACACAAGCGAACGCCGGAGCGACAACCACAACCCUUCCCCAUAUGCGAAGCUGCCGAUCAUCGUCGUCGACCUCGACGAAAGGUAGUCUAAACUCUGAUGACCACACGUCGAUUGGUUGCAUAAUGACAUCCUCAUCGUCGGCCGCUUCGUCACCCUUCAAUUUUGGACGUCGCUGCUCCGAUACGCAGAGGUCUGCCACGGCUGGAACAAAACCGAAAAAACACUUCUGGACAAUAAAGCAGUGAUGCCGCAGCAUUGGUCGACAAAUACAAAAGACACUGAAUAUUGUCCUGGUAUAUCAUCCGAAGACUGCAAUCCAUUACGUUGUUCAAUACAAGCACCAUCUUCUACAAAAUUUAGAGGAGACUUAACUGUCUGCCAGACAUCUACUUGAAGUAUUGGAAAAAAAAAAAGAAAAUAUACCUUUGUUUCUUCAUCACCUGCAAGGAUGCCUAUAUAACAUUGGAAAAUGAAAUAAAACACAAACUUUGAAUUACAUAAAACGAGAUACUUUAGAGAAGAAAAUCAAUUUAAUUAUUGUAACAUGUAGAUUUAGAAUAUUAUUAGACGUAAUAUAUAUAUAUAUAUAUAAAUGCAAUUAUUCAGAAAAUUAUUACCGCUAUGAGAAUGUGAAAUUUUAUUAUAUAUAUACAUACGAAAUUUAAGAGAUAAUUUUUGUAUAUACCCUAUCUAAUCGUAAAAUAUUGAACUUAAUGAAUAAAAACAAAACGGAAAAAUAAUUUAAAACAAACUUCUUAAAAGAAUCUUAAUGUACAUUUGAUUGAACAUGAAUAAUUUAUAUAUAUAUAUAAAAAAAUAUAUAUUAUAUGAAAUAAAGAUGCAAUUCGCACUUUCAACUGUAAUUAUACACGACAAAAUAGAACUUUAACAGGUCGAAUACCUGAAGAUAAAAUGGACGAAAAAAUGUUUAAUAACAAUUUUUACUUCAUUCAUUGUGAAUAUUUUUCUCUUAUAAAAACAAAUCGAAAUUUUUUUCAUGAUGGAGUAAAACGCAUUAAUUACGUCCUAAGACUCGAUGACGAUUGAAAAGAAAAAUUAUAAAUGUUUAUGGGAAGAAUGAAUUAUGCAGAGAAUUUUCAAUAGUGCACAAGAAAAAAUCCUUUAUCUCACUAUAGACUUCAUAUUCUCAACAUUCUUGGCGAAUAGAACAAGAAUCUGUUGAUGAUGAAAUGAUGCAACAAGUGCUACAUUUGAAAAUUCGACUUAGUAGGAAUAAAUUUGAAUAAAAAGCUUAAAAUGUGAUAUUUUGUAAAACUCUAUAAAAGAAUACAAGAAGAAAUAAAAGAUGUUAUAAAUACUUUAAUUUA